CCACCAAAAAGACUAUUCAAUACCACUCUAUAAAAUUGAAGUCGACCUUUUCAUACCCAAUUCAAACCAAAUCAAAGUCAUUUUAGUUUUAUUAUUUUUCUGUACUUAAAACCUUUUCCCCUGUUCCUUUGUCUAUUUCUUCCUUUUUCAUUUUCAGGUCUACCGGUUUUCCUCCCUUGUCUUUCAAAAUUCUCCUUCUUAUUAUUUAUAAAAUACUUUUGUUUUUGAAGAUCCGAUUCUUGUUUAAAGAAAAAAUAGAUAAUGGCGAGGAGUAGAUCAUCGUCAUCUUCGAGUAAAUUUAGAUACUGUAAUCCAUCGUAUUAUUUGAAAAGACCGAAGCGUUUGGCUUUGCUUUUGAUUGUUUUCGUUUCAGCUACUUUUUUCGUUUGGGAUCGUCAAACUCUCGUUAGAGAACACGAGGUUGAAGUGUCCAAGUUAACUGAUGAAGUGCAUCGAUUACGAGAUAUGCUGGAGGAAUUGAAGAGUAAGGCAGUGCCAAAUGAUCCCGUUGAAAUGCAAAGAAGAGAAAAAGUUAAGGAAGCUAUGGUUCAUGCCUGGAGUUCAUAUGAGCGGUAUGCAUGGGGCAAUGACGAACUUCAGCCUCAGUCAAAGGAUGGUGUCAAUAGCUUUGGUGGUCUUGGAGCAACACUAAUAGACUCUCUUGAUACUUUAUACAUUAUGGGUCUGGAUGAGCAAUUCCAAAGAGCAAGAGAGAGAAAAAAUAGGACAUGUGAUAAGAGGAGAGGUGGAGGUUUAGCAUGCAUAAGGAUGACACCCACUUCUACGGAUAAUGCAUCACACUCCAUUAUGAAUGGAAAAGAAAAAUCCAACAAGUGCAAUAUUGGUACUGAAGUGAGGGCUUGCUUGGAGUAUGAAUGGAGAAGAAAAAUCCAACUUAAAAACCAUCAAUUUUGGCAAGAAUGGUGGGUUGCAAACUCAUUGGAUUUUAACAAGGACUAUGAUGCCAGUGUUUUCGAGACAACCAUAAGAGUUGUAGGUGGACUUCUUAGUGCAUAUGAUCUUUCAAGGGACAAUGUUUUCCUCGAAAAAGCUAGAGAUAUUGCAGAUAGAUUGCUACCUGCUUGGGAUACUACUACUGGGAUCCCUUAUAAUGUUAUCAACUUGGCUCAUGGAAAUGCACAUAACCCUGGUUGGGCUGGGGGUCAAAGUAUUCUUGCAGACUCAGGAACUGAGCAACUAGAGUUUAUUGCUCUUUCUCAAAGAACAGGAGAUCCCAAGUAUCAGGAGAAGGUGGAGAAGGUUAUAGUUGCCCUUAAUAAAACUUUUCCGGCCGAUGGUUUGCUUCCCAUCUAUAUUAAUCCUGACACUGCAACUGGUUCAUACUCCACUAUAACCUUUGGUGCUAUGGGUGACAGCUUCUAUGAAUAUCUGCUCAAAGCCUGGAUACAGGGAAACAAAACAUCAUCAUUAACGCUUUAUAGAGAUAUGUGGGAAACAUCAAUGAAAGGUCUACUAAGCUUAAUUAGAAGAUCAACGCCAUCAUCUUUUGCAUAUAUCUGUGAGAAAAAUGGGGAUUCACUGACAGACAAGAUGGAUGAAUUAGCAUGCUUUGCUCCAGGAAUGUUGGCUUUAGGUUCAUCUGAUUAUGGUCCUGAUGAGGCAAAGAAAUUUCUUUCACUUGCUGAAGAGCUUGCUUGGACCUGUUACAGUUUCUACCAAUCCACACCAACAAAGUUAGCCGGAGAGAAUUAUUUCUUUAAUCCGGGGCAGGACAUGACAGUGGGCACAUCCUGGAACAUAUUGAGACCAGAGACAGUUGAAUCACUAUUUUAUCUGUGGCGCUUAACUGGUAAUAAGACAUAUCAGGAGUGGGGUUGGAAUAUAUUUCAGGCAUUUGAAAAGAACUCCCGGAUAGAAUCUGGAUAUGUUGGACUGAAGGAUGUUAACACUGGUAUAAAAGACAACAAGAUGCAAAGCUUUUUUCUUGCAGAGACGCUGAAAUAUCUUUAUCUUCUUUUCUCACCACCUACUGUCAUCCCAUUGGAUGAGUGGGUAUUCAACACAGAAGCGCACCCUUUGCGGAUAGUUAACCGCAAUGAUGCAAAUCUUGCAGCAUUGGAAGGGCAACAUAAACCUGUGAUCAAAAUACGAAGCAGGAAAACUGGUCGAUUAGGUGGUAAUUAGGAUUUGUUUCCAGUUUAUUGUUCCUUGCUGAACUAUGAGAUUUUAAUCCUCAAAUAGACGACAAGCCUGACGUUAUAAUGAUAUCAUUUCUUGAAAUGGAUAGAAGAGUGAGUCUCCAGUUUCUAACAGAGAAGCGUGCAGCUCGACCAAAUCCUUCAUUCCAGUGCCGUCAAGCUAGUUCGGGAAUCAAGGGACGUCGGAGGCAUUGAUCACACUAUCACCUAAAGUUUUUUGGUAUAGUUAGUUUAAAUGUUUUGGGCGUGGUAUGUAUAGGUACUUGGUCUUUUUGUUUAGUGACAUGUUGGUUUAGCCACAAAUGUUGGCUCAUAUGGAUGUGAUAUUCAUUUUCUAUAUGUUAUUGAUGUUGGCUAAUAUUGAUUAUUAUCAAAUGCAUUUGAUGAAA